GACGAACGCUGGCGGCGUGCCUAAUACAUGCAAGUCGAGCGAAGUUUUUCUGGUGCUUGCACUAGAAAAACUUAGCGGCGAACGGGUGAGUAACACGUAAAGAACCUGCCUCAUAGACUGGGACAACUAUUGGAAACGAUAGCUAAUACCGGAUAACAGCAUUAACUGCAUGGUUGAUGUUUAAAAGUUGGUUUUGCUAACACUAUGAGAUGGCUUUGCGGUGCAUUAGCUAGUUGGUGGGGUAAAGGCCUACCAAGGCGACGAUGCAUAGCCGACCUGAGAGGGUGAUCGGCCACACUGGGACUGAGACACGGCCCAGACUCCUACGGGAGGCAGCAGUAGGGAAUCUUCCGCAAUGGGCGAAAGCCUGACGGAGCAACGCCGCGUGAGUGAAGAAGGAUUUCGGUUCGUAAAGCUCUGUUGUUAGGGAAGAAUGAUUGUGUAGUAACUAUACACAGUAAGAGACGGUACC
rnacentral:rRNA from 1 species